rnacentral:rRNA from 1 species
AUGUGCGGAGGGAAGUUCGCCACCAACGACCGCGGCAAGGGGCGUCCCGGCCAAUCCCCGUCGGCGGGGAAGGCGAAAAUGCGCGGCGGCUGGCCGACGGAUGAGGACUCUGACGACUGGGAGGCCGCCUUCCGGGAGUUCGUGGCCGCCGACGACGGCGACGUCCUCAAUGAGCCGCUCCCCACAGGGCCAGCCCUAGCCACCCGUACCGCGGCAUCCGGCAGCGGGCGUGGGGGAGGUGGUCGGCGGAAAUCCGCGACCCCAUCAAAGGCUCGCGUCUGGAUCGGCACCUUCGACACGGCCGCGGAGGCCGCCCACGCCUACGACGCCGAGGCGCGGCGCAUCCACGGUAGAAAGGCCAGGACAAACUUCCCUGCAGCGCCGGCGGCGCCGUACAGCGAUCGUCCUGGACCGUCUUCUCGCAGCAGCGUCACCGACGGCGGCGCGGACAACGUGGCCCGUGCGACGGAGAGCGCCUCGUCGUCGUUUAAGGAACUCUUUAAGGAUGUCCACGGGACUGCGCCUUACGACGCACGCAUACUGCUGGAAUGCUGCUCGGACGACGUCAUGGAGAGCCUCCUCGCCGGCUCCGACAUGGCCGGCAACAUGGACCUCUCGAGCUUCCGGUUCCCGAGCUAA